GGCUAUUGGAGGCAUUGCCUGCCCAGUGACAACUGUUUAACGGCCGCGGUAUCCUGACCGUGCAAAGGUAGCAUAAUCAUUUGUUCUCUAAAUAAGGACUUGUAUGAAUGGCCGCACGAGGGUUUUACUGUCUCUUACUUCCAAUCAGUGAAAUUGACCUUCCCGUGAAGAGGCGGGAAUGCACAAAUAAGACGAGAAGACCCUAUGGAGCUUUAACUAACCAACCCAAAGAGAAUAGAUUUAACCAUUAAGGAAUAACAACAAUCUCCAUGAGUUGGUAGUUUCGGUUGGGGUGACCUCGGAGAAUAAAAAAUCCUCCGAGCGAUUUUAAAGACUAGACCCACAAGUCAAAUCACUCUAUCGCUCAUUGAUCCAAAAACUUGAUCAACGGAACAAGUUACCCUAGGGAUAACAGCGCAAUCCUAUUCAAGAGUCCAUAUCGACAAUAGGGUUUACGACCUCCAUGUUGGAUCAGGACAUCCUGAUGGUGCAACCGCUAUCAAAGGUUCGUUUGUUCAACGAUUAAAGUCCUACGUGAUCUGAGUUCAGACCGGA
rnacentral:rRNA from 1 species